GUUUCGGUAGCUCAGUCUGCGGAGCACCUGUACGGAGUGAGCGAAAGCGCCUAGCAAUAACUUUCAGGAGGUCGCAGGAUCGAAGCCUGCCCGGGAUU